CUAAUCAAGUUUUUUGGGGUCGAGGUGCCGUAAAGCACUAAAUCGGAACCCUAAAGGGAGCCCCCGAUUUAGAGCUUGACGGGGAAAGCCGGCGAACGUGGCGAGAAAGGAAGGGAAGAAAGCGAAAGGAGCGGGCGCUAGGGCGCUGGCAAGUGUAGCGGUCACGCUGCGCGUAACCACCACACCCGCCGCGCUUAAUGCGCCGCUACAGGGCGCGUCCAUUCGCCAUUCAGGCUGCGCAACUGUUGGGAAGGGCGAUCGGUGCGGGCCUCUUCGCUAUUACGCCAGCUGGCGAAAGGGGGAUGUGCUGCAAGGCGAUUAAGUUGGGUAACGCCAGGGUUUUCCCAGUCACGACGUUGUAAAACGACGGCCAGUGAAUUGUAAUACGACUCACUAUAGGGCGAAUUGGGCCCGACGUCGCAUGCUCCCGGCCGCCAUGGCCGCGGGAUUGGCUAACUCCGUGCCAGCAGCCGCAGUAAUACGGAGGAUCCGAGCGUUAUCCGGAAUUAUUGGGUUUAAAGGGUGCGUAGGCGGCUAUUUAAGUCAGCGGUGAAAUUUUGCAGCUUAACUGUAACAGUGCCGUUGAAACUGUUUAGCUAGGAUUUGGUUGCAGUGUGCGGAAUGUGUGGUGUAGCGGUGAAAUGCUUAGAUAUCACACAGAACACCAAUUGCGAAGGCAGCACACUAAGUCAAUAUUGACGCUGAGGCACGAAAGUGUGGGGAUCAAACAGGAUUAGAUACCCUGGUAGUCCACACUGUAAACGAUGAUAACUCGCUGCCGGCGAUACAUUGUUGGUGGCCAAGCGAAAGCAUUAAGUUAUCCACCUGGGGAGUACGACCGCAAGGUUGAAACUCAAAGGAAUUGACGG
rnacentral:rRNA from 1 species